AUUGAGCGCUGGCGGCAUGCCUUACACAUGCAAGUCGAACGGCAGCACGGGAGCAAUCCUGGUGGCGAGUGGCGAACGGGUGAGUAAAGUAUCGGAACGUGCCCAGUCGUGGGGGAUAACGUAGCGAAAGUUACGCUAAUACCGCAUACGAUCUAUGGAUGAAAGCGGGGGAUCGCAAGACCUCGCGCGAUUGGAGCGGCCGAUAUCAGAUUAGGUAGUUGGUGGGGUAAAGGCUCACCAAGCCGACGAUCUGUAGCUGGUCUGAGAGGACGACCAGCCACACGGGGACUGAGACACGGCCCAGACUCCUACGGGAGGCAGCAGUGGGGAAUUUUGGACAAUGGGCGAAAGCCUGAUCCAGCCAUGCCGCGUGCAGGAUGAAGGCCUUCGGGUUGUAAACUGCUUUUGCACGGAACGAAAAGGUUUGGCCUAAUAAGCUGAGCUCAUGACGGUACCGUAAGAGUAAGCACCGGCUAACUACGUGCCAGCCGCCGCGGUAA
rnacentral:rRNA from 1 species